AACGUAGGAGACGAACGUUAUCCGGAGUUACUGGGCGUAAAGGGCGUGUAGGCGGUUUGUUAAGUCUGGCGUGAAAGCUCUCGGCUAAACCGGGAGAGGUCGUUGGAUACUGGCAAACUUGAGGAUGGUAGAGGCGUGUGGAAUUCCGGGUGUAGUGGUGAAAUGCGUAGAGAUCCGGAGGAACACCAGUGGCGAAGGCGGCUUGCUGGGCCAGUUCUGACGCUGAGGAGCGAAAGCGUGGGGAGCGAACAGG
rnacentral:rRNA from 1 species